ACGAACGCUGGCGGCAUGCCUAACACAUGCAAGUCGCACGAGACCUUCGGGUCUAGUGGCGCACGGGUGCGUCACGCGUGGGAACCUGCCCUUAGGUUCGGAAUAACUCCCCGAAAGGGGUGCUAAUACCGGAUAAUGUCUUCGGACCAAAGAUUUAUCGCCUUUGGAUGGGCCCGCGUUGGAUUAGCUAGUUGGUAGGGUAAAAGCCUACCAAGGCGACGAUCCAUAGCUGGUCUGAGAGGAUGAUCAGCCACACUGGGACUGAGACACGGCCCAGACUCCUACGGGAGGCAGCAGUGGGGAAUAUUGGACAAUGGGCGAAAGCCUGAUCCAGCAAUGCCGCGUGAGUGAUGAAGGCCUUAGGGUUGUAAAGCUCUUUUACCCGGGAUGAUAAUGACAGUACCGGGAGAAUAAGCUCCGGCUAACUCCGUG
rnacentral:rRNA from 1 species